AAUUUCAAUCUCGGAAUAAGAGAUAAUAAGCUGGAAAGUCGUAUAUACUUUAAUUACAGCGUUUUAAAAGUUCCCUUAAAAUCACAGAGAAUCUCGUGUGCGCAUGGGGAGUUAUUUCAUAACAUGGGUUAUAUCGUUUAAAAUCAUCCAGCAAACCUGAGGAAACAACUCAAAAUUUGCAUAGAGCUACUUUGUCCCUCUUGUCGAUAAAAUACAAUUUUCUCAUCAGUUUUUGAAGAAUACAGAGAGCACUAUCGUAAAGCCACAUCUGGUCUGAUGAAAAAAAUAUAUCUAAAAAUACUUCAUCGCACAUUUCACCUGAUAAGGAAACAACUAUUUCAGUAUUUGAAAACUAAUUUAAUAUACUUUGCUAUAAAAUCUUUUAUACCAUGGCUUAACUUAAAUUGCGUCAAAACAAGUAUGUUAUCAGCAAUGAUAUUGUGUUUCUUGUGUCCACGGAUGAGUAUACAAAACAUGCUAAAAGCGUCGCCGAGGGUGGACACGAGGAACUGCGACUCGGUGUGCCGCGACCUACCACCCGGGGACACGCAGCCAGUGUGUAUGAUGGCCAGCCGAUACAAAAAAGGAUACCUGUACUUCGCAAAUCACUGCCAAGCGAGACUAGCCAUGUGUAUAGAGAAUUUUGUUUUAAAUAUGGUUCAUUGGAGAAGGUGUCAAAGAUACGGACUAUAUUUAAUGCCCAACCCCUCAUACAUAUCCACCGCAAUGAAUGAAUAAGUAUUGCGAUAGCAUAAAAUGAUGACGAAAAUGCUAUUUUUAUUAUUGUUUAGAAUGUUAUUGUUGUAUUUUUUCACGCCACUGCUAGGAAAUGUGGCAGGCCUGAAGUCUUAACUUAUUUAAGAGUGAAAAUUUAAAUUAAAAACAACACGCUGCACUUUUCCACGAUAUGAUUGUACCAUCAUCCAGUCCCCGCUUAUUUAUGAUUAUGCUCUUUAUAAUUAUCUCGGGCAAUGCUCACUGUAGGAUUCCGUAGUUGCCUGUCCAUCACAACAGGCAGACUUAAAUGAGGGCUUUAUGUAAAUAAUAUGGACAUAACAAACAAAAGGAAGUAUCUUCGCAGCACUUACAUUUUGCCAAAACUCUCAAAAGGUUGGUACUUUUUGCCAAAACUCAAGAAUGUCUCAACUAAUUAUGUUCAAAAUAGUAAAAUAGUAUGAAUGAA